rnacentral:tRNA from 1 species
GCCCCCGUCGAUUAAUGGAUAAAUCGGUCGCCUCCUAAGUGACAGCUACAGGUUCGAUUCCUGUCGGGGGUACCA